UAUACAGAGAAACCCUGUCUCGAAAAAAAACAAAAACAAAACAAAAACUCUUCAACUCCAUUCAAUUUCAUACACACAUAUAUAACGUACUUUGAUAUUGUCUCCCUUUAUUAUCCCCUCCCACCAAGCCCUUUCUCUCUCUCUCUCUCUCUCUCUCUCUCUCUCUCUCUCUCUCUCUCUCCCUCUCUCUCUCUCUCUCUCUCUCUCUCUCUCUCCUUUCCCCUUUUACACCACCUGCACAUUGAUUUAGGGUUGUCUGCAUAAGCAUGAGUGGAGGGUUAUUUACUUGGAGGGUUAUUUAUUUGGACAGGGACAACUUACUGGUGGCUUUAUCACUGGGGAAUAUGAAUCUCCUUCCCUGACAGGGUGGAACACAGGCAGCCUCAGUCUGGACCAGCUCCAUGCAGGAAGAGAGACAGCAGGUGCUGAGUGGCGUGUUCCCUGAUCCAAGCUGACUCAGGCUCCUGCUUAGCGUCUCCAGGGAUUGUAGACACCUUUAGACGGGGAUAUAGGAAAAGUCAGGCGGUCAGUAAAAUUUCAUUUGAAAACAGCUCAUCAAAAGCACAGAUCCUUUUGUGUCAUGAGCGCUGACGAACCGUUUGAAGACACACAGCUUCGGAACCUCUCUGACCAUACUAGAGAUCUGGCACCAUACACUUGAACUUCAACUUCUGAUCGAAUAGACGAAUUUGUGAGGAUCUCAACUCAUUUGCCCUUUGUCAAGAUUAACUCAAACACAAAAGACUGAAACAUUUGGAAAGCUUAGAGUUCUGCUAAGAUAUUUUCACGUCGUUCAUUAACGUUGCCUUGGAAAUGUAGUUUGUUCUACAGAGAAAGAACCAGCGACAUGCAAC